GUUGUUACAAAGGUUUGGAAGAGAGGGAGUGAAGAGAGUGCUGGAAGCGGCGCAAUGGAAGGAAGGAAGAAACAUGUGGACACUGAAACGCAACCUGAGAGAAACAAACAAAGGGGUUUUCAUUCGACAUUCCAUGAUGUUUCAUAUUUAGUUUUCAAUCUGAAUCUUCUUCCCGACUUUCCUUGUUGCUCGUCUUCUCUCACCCCCUCUCUCCACGCGCCACUGCUUCUACCCUUCGGCCUCGUGAUGAUAAUCUGAAGUAGCUUGGUUUUUCUUAAAGCUUGAUUUGCUUGCCAUCUGUGGAUUUGUGCGAGUGUUGCAUUGCACUGCAUUGUGCUUUUUAAUUGCAUAAUUUCUACAUGAGGAAGCUGGGUGGAGAAGCCAAAAAUUGAGACCAACAUGUGAGUAAAUCAUCGAAUUUGUUUAUGAAAAAUCUAGUGUUUAUGAAUGAUGAAAAUCAUGUCUCAGGAUCCAAAUAUGCAGUUUCUGGUCAAAUAAAUACUCAUUGUAAUUUUGUAAUUUGCUUUUCCUUGUAUGGUUUAGCUGUGUUGGAUACAUAGGCAAAUGGGGGAAGGUGGGGAAAAUAACCUAGACUCUAUGUGUUUGUGAAUAUGCCGAUGUAUAUUUUACCAACUUGGAGCCAACAUUCACUUGAUGGUUUCAACCUUAUUCUAUGUGAUGCUGAAGUAUUUUGCAGAGAAGUAGUCUCAGAGGGUGGAAUUACUAGAAAAAAAAAGAGUUAAAGAGAGGUGUUUUUUUGAAACGUUAGUCACAAGUUGAAGGACAAAACUUUGAUCCACCAUUGCAGUUUGUUUGCCACCACAUCUGGUGUCAUUGUUGGUCUUGAAAGGAAGAAAGCUGGAAAAAUGAUUGUACAUUAGUAGUAUUUGUGAGUCUUGUUGAUAUUAGCCACCUUGGUGAACAUGGGGAAAAGAAUAGGAUUAUGCAAGUGGGAAAUUUGGUCAUCUUGGGAAAGAGCUAUCAACUAUUAUCUGUGAAAGUUUUUAAAGAGAAGACUUCUGAACAUUUUGUAUCAGAGUAUCAUAUGCCAGAUAAAACAAAAUUGUUAGUC